CUGAAACCAGUAGUGAAGUAUGUUAUUUAAUUCGUAGUUACGCGAAAAACCUUACCACAACUUGAAUAUUAUCAUUGAGAAAAUAUUUAGCUCAGACUAAAUAGAAGUAUAAAUAGAUAUUACAAGCGUUGCACGGCUGUCCUCAGUUAAUGUCGUGAGAUAUUGGUUAAUUCCAUUAAAUUAACGGAAGCCCUUGCUUUAUUUGCAAAUUUUAUAAUAAAGCCGUCAACCAGAAGAACGGAUUGAUAAAAGGGAGCAAGACAAGUCAUCAUGGCCUAAAUGUUGUGGGCGAUAGACGUGCCACAUAUUCCUAUACAAAAUGAUGCAAAAAUGUGAAUUUGAGCUAAUCUAAUUAAAGUAGGAUAAAACAAGGAUUGUAGUCUGAAAUUC
rnacentral:rRNA from 1 species